CUGCUCUCGCCGGCCGCCCGCGGCUCGGAGUCGCCGCAGUACGUGACGGUGCACGCGGAGUCGGACUUCGAGGUGCGGCACUACCGCGACACCGUCUGGAUGUCCGCCCCCUCCGACGACAUCUCUUUCCACGUCGCCACCAAGCUCGGCUUCCACAGGUUGUUCCAAUACCUGAUGGGCGCAAACCUCAACUCCUCCAGGAUCAGAAUGACGACCCCUAUCCUAACGAGCAUCGUCCCAGGCGCGGGGCCUCUGCACUCUUCGGCCUACUUUGUCGGGCUCUACUUACCAGUAGAAUUCCAAGCUUCCCCUCCUGUCCCUCUCCCGGAGCUGAACCUACAUCCAGAUAGGUGGCCAGGCCACUGCGUUGCUGUCAGGAGCUUCUCUGGCUACGCACGCGACCACAAUGUCGUCGAGGAAGCUGAGAAACUCGCAGUGAGCUUGAGCCGGACACCGUGGGGGAACUCCACAAAUCACCCUAGGAAGAACGCCUACUCGAUCGCACAGUACAACAGCCCCUUCCGCAUCGUCGGCCGUGUCAAUGAAGUGUGGUUCGACGUCGAGUGCAGAUCUGCUGGUGUGGAGACUUAUUAA
rnacentral:rRNA from 1 species